rnacentral:lncRNA from 1 species
AUGUGGUGUCGUGGACCGUGAUGAUCUGGGCUUACGCGCAGCAGGGUUUCAUUCGAGCGGCCUUCGAUCUCUACAAGAGAAUGGACUGCGAGCCAAACGCUGUAACUUUCAUGGCCGUGAUGGAUUCCUGUUUGCGUCCAGAGGACUUACCGCGAGCGGAGCAAAUCCACGCACACAUGGUUGCCUCCGGUUUUGAAUCCGAUGUUGUCUUGCAAGUUUGUCUCGUCACCAUGUAUGGGAAGUGUGGGAGCGUCGACAGCGCUUGGAGCAUCUUCGAAAACUUGAAGGAGAGAAGCGUGGUUGCAUGGAACUCCAUGCUAUCUGCGUUCGCCAGCAACGGGUGUUACGAGAGGAGCUUGAAACUCUACGAAAGAAUGCUGCUAGAGGGGACAAAACCCGACAAGAUCACUUACUUGGCUGUGCUUGAUGCCUGCCAGAGCGUUUCCGAGGCCCGGAGGUACGCCGCUACCUUCGAGCUGGAGCUAGAUAUUGCUGCAAGAAAUGCCGCGGUCAGUGCGUACGCGAGGUGUGGAAGCUUGAAAGAAGCCAAGGCUGCGUUUGAUGCAAUCCAAUGGAAGAACAACGCUGUGACAUGGAACGCCAUGAUCUCCGGCCUUGCACAGCACGGAGAGAGCAAGCAAGCUCUCGAGUGCUUUUGGAAAAUGGAACUGGAAGGAGUGAGAGCAAACUCGGUCACUUACCUCGCAAGUCUAGAGGCAUGCUCGAGCUUGAAAGAUUUGACGAGAGGGAGACAACUCCACGCCAGGAUCCUCCUGGAAAACAUACACGAGGCAAACCUCAGCAAUGCCGUGAUCAACAUGUAUGGCAAGUGUGGAAGUCUAGACGAAGCAAUGGACGAGUUUGUGAAAAUGCCCGAGAGAGAUGUGAUCUCCUGGAACACAAUGAUAGCAACAUACGCUCAACACGGCAGUGGAAGACAAGCACUAGAGUUUUUCAAGCAAAUGGACCUGGAAGGAUGGACUCCGGACAGAGCAACGUACCUAGGAGCGAUCGACGCGUGCGGCAGCGUUCCAUCUCUAGCUCUCGGAAAAACCAUCCACUCCAUCGUCGCCACUGCUGCUCCAUGCCUGGAACAAGAUCCGGGAGUCGCCACAGCGCUCGUCACCAUGUACGCUCGGUGUGGAAGCCUGCACGACGCAAAGUCAGUGUUCUGGAGAUCUCACUCGCGGAACCUCGUUACCUGGUCGAACUUGAUCGCUGCGUGUGCUCAGCACGGCCGAGAGAACGAGGCCCUGGAUCUCUUCCGCGAGAUGCAGCUCCAGGGAACCAAGCCCGACGCUCUAACUUUCAGCACGCUCGUCGCGGCUUGCAGCCGGCGAGGAGUCGUGAAAGAUGGCGUCUUCUAC